UUUGAACCCCUUUCACUUCUUUCACUUAGUUCCAGUUCGUUUUUUUCCUAUAUUUUCAAAGCUUAUUUUUGGUUUUUGUUUUGUUUUAAAGCGGCCGAUGGUCCUAUGUGAAUUAGAAUAAAUCUGCGGUAUAUAUAGUCUCCAUGUAGAUUUCGCAAUUGAUGAUGGAAAAAGGAUGCGUCCAACAUUAACCGAUAGGUAGCCAUGAUCGACAUAAUAAUGAUCAUAACCAUCGUUAAUAAGUUUGCUUGCUUGUGUUUUCUAGGUUAACGACGUUUAAAUUAUUUAUUUAUCAGGCAUGUCUAAAUAUGUUAAGGUAAUUCUGCGUUCUUGUACCUUUUUUGUUCUUAUGUUUGUAAGUUCUCUUUUCAAUUUCGGGUCUAAAGCUGACGAACUUGAAACAAUAUUAAUUUUAUUGUAGGUAGUAUUGUAAUUGGGUCUGUUGUAGCGUUCGAUUGAUCAUGGAGAUGAGCAAGCAUUCAAUAAAAAUAACCUCCACGGAUAAAGCAACAGACCGAAACUCAGUGACCGGAUUGUUACGAAAUCUCACCACGGAUGGUUGAUUAGUUACCUUCUUUUCUUUCUUACGUUUUUAAAACUAAUAACGUUUGAAGUGUUUUUAUUCCAUGUCUAAGAAUGUUUAACGUGUUUUUAGAUCCCAA
rnacentral:lncRNA from 1 species